rnacentral:rRNA from 1 species
UACGUAGGGGGCAAGCGUUGUCCGGAAUUAUUGGGCGUAAAGAGCGCGUAGGCGGUCCGGUAAGUCGGCUGUGAAAGUCAAGGGCUCAACCCUUGAAAGCCGGCCGAUACUGUCGGACUAGAGUCCGGAAGAGGCGAGUGGAAUUCCCGGUGUAGCGGUGAAAUGCGCAGAUAUCAGGAGGAACACCAGCGGCGAAGGCGGCGCUCUGGGCCGGUACUGACGCUGAGGAGCGAAAGCGUGGGUAGCAAACAGG